rnacentral:rRNA from 1 species
UGUACACACCGCCCGUCGCUACUACCGAUUGAAUGGCUCAGUGAGGCCUCCGGACUGGCUCGAAGAGGUUGGCAACGACCACUUCGAGCCGGAAAGCUGGUCAAACUCGGUCAUUUAGAGGAAGUAAAAGUCGUAACAAGGUUUCCGUAGGUGAACCUGCGGAAGGAUCAUUA